GCCUUAGCUGUUCAACAUGUUACUGCAGUCUUAGCUGUUCAACAUGUUACUGCAGUCUUAGCUGUUCAACAUGUUACUGCAGCCUUAGCUGUUCAACAUGUUACUGCAGUCUUAGCUGUUCAACAUGUUACUGCAGUCUUAGCUAUUUAAAAUGUUACUGCAGUCUUAGCUGUUCAACAUGUUACUGCCGUCUUAGCGAGUUAACAUGUUACUGCAGCCUUAGCUGUUCAACAUGUUACUGCAGUCUUAGCUGUUCAACAUGUUACUGCAGUCUUAGCUGUUCAACAUUUUACUGCAGUCUUAGCUGUUCAACAUGUUACUGCAGUCUUAGCUGUUAAACAUGUUACUGCAGUCUUAGCGGUUCAACAUGUUACUGCAGCCUUAGCUAUUCAACAUGUUACUGCAGUCUUAGCUGUUCAACAUGUUACUGCAGUCUUAGCUGUUCAACAUGUUACUGCAGUCUUAGCUGUUCAACAUGUUACUGCAGUCUUAACUGUUCAACAUGUUACUGCAGUCUUAGCUGUUCAACAUGUUACUGCAGUCUUAGCGGGUUAACAUGUUACUGCAUCUCUAGUUGAUCAACAUGUUACUGCAGUCUUAGCUGUUCAACAUGUUACUGCAGCCUUAGCUAUUCAACAUGUUACUGCAGUCUUAGCUGUUCUUAGUCUCAGCUGACAAAGAAGGCAGUGUCUGUAGAAACAUAUUCCUGUCAUACAUACUAGUCAUUCCCUAGUUAAUACCUACUGGUCAUUCCCUAGUUAAUACCUACUGGUCAUUCCUUAGUUAAUACCUACUGGUCAUUCCCUAGUUAAUACCUACUGGUCAUUCCCUAGUUAAUACCUACUGGUCAUUCCCUAGUUAAUACCUACUGGUCAUUCCCUAGUUAAUACCUACUGGUCAUUCCCUAGUUAAUACCUACUGGGUAAAGGUUCCCUAGUUAAUACCUACUGGUCAUUCCCUAGUUAAUACCUACUGGUCAUUCCCUAGUUAAUACCUACUGGUCAUUCCCUAGUUAAUACCUACUGGGUAAAGGUUCCCUAGUUAAUACCUACUGGUCAUUCCCUAGUUAAUACCUACUGGUCAUUCCCUAG
rnacentral:lncRNA from 1 species